rnacentral:rRNA from 2 species
GCGGGCUGGAACCUCUCGGGGUUACAGCCUUGCUGAAUUAUUCACCCUUGUCUUUUGCGUACUUCUUGUUUCCUUGGUGGGUUCGCCCACCACUAGGACAAACAUAAACCUUUUGUAAUUGCAAUCAGCGUCAGUAACAAAUUAAUAAUUACAACUUUCAACAACGGAUCUCUUGGUUCUGGCAUCGAUGAAGAACGCAGCGAAAUGCGAUAAGUAGUGUGAAUUGCAGAAUUCAGUGAAUCAUCGAAUCUUUGAACGCACAUUGCGCCCUUUGGUAUUCCAAAGGGCAUGCCUGUUCGAGCGUCAUUUGUACCCUCAAGCUUUGCUUGGUGUUGGGCGUCUUGUCUCUAGCUUUGCUGGAGACUCGCCUUAAAGUAAUUGGCAGCCGGCCUACUGGUUUCGGAGCGCAGCACAAGUCGCACUCUCUAUCAGCAAAGGUCUAGCAUCCAUUAAGCCUUUUUUUCAACUUUUGACCUCGGAUCAGGUAGGGAUACCCGCUGAACUUAAGCAUAUCAAUAA